rnacentral:rRNA from 1 species
GAUGAACGCUGGCGGCGUGCCUAAUACAUGCAAGUCGAGCGAACAGAUAAGGAGCUUGCUCCUUUGACGUUAGCGGCGGACGGGUGAGUAACACGUGGGUAACCUACCUAUAAGACUGGGAUAACUUCGGGAAACCGGAGCUAAUACCGGAUAACAUUUGGAACCGCAUGGUUCCAAAGUGAAAGAUGGUUUUGCUAUCACUUAUAGAUGGACCCGCGCCGUAUUAGCUAGUUGGUAAGGUAACGGCUUACCAAGGCAACGAUACGUAGCCGACCUGAGAGGGUGAUCGGCCACACUGGAACUGAGACACGGUCCAGACUCCUACGGGAGGCAGCAGUAGGGAAUCUUCCGCAAUGGGCGAAAGCCUGACGGAGCAACGCCGCGUGAGUGAUGAAGGGUUUCGGCUCGUAAAACUCUGUUAUUAGGGAAGAACAAACGUGUAAGUAACUGUGCACGUCUUGACGGUACCUAAUCAGAAAGCCACGGCUAACUACGUG